AUUGAACGCUGGCGGCAGGCCUAACACAUGCAAGUCGAGCGAGCGGCGGACGGGUGAGUAAUGUAUGGGGACUGCCCGAUAGAGGGGGAUAACUACUGGAAACGGUAGCUAAUACCGCAUACUAUCGGAUAACCCAUAUGGGAUUAGCUAGUAGGUGAGGUAAUGGCUCACCUAGGCGACGAGCCCUAGCUGGUCUGAGAGGAUGAUCAGCCACACUGGGAAUGAGACACGGCGCAGACUCGUACGGAGUCAGCAGUGGGGAAUAUUGCACAAUGGGCGGAAGCCUGAUGUAGCCAGUGCGGGUGUAUGAAGAAGGGCAUAGGGUUGUAAAGUACUUUAAGUCGGGAGGCGUUACCGACAGAAGAAGCACCGGCUAACUCCGUGCCAGCAGCCGCGGUAAUUC
rnacentral:rRNA from 1 species